rnacentral:lncRNA from 1 species
GGUGGCUCCCGGGUGAAUGCUAUACCGCGUAUUAUGCGCUUCCCUCAUAAUGUCGGCCUUCAAACUGCUAUCAUCUGGUACACAUAACCUCUUACCAUGUCGAAGAAUCCCCUCACUAUCAAAUCUGAACUCUGCACUGUUGCCCGACUGAACAGUCCUGGCAAUCUUCACUAACUCGGGGUCUUCGUGCUGUUUCAGAGCCACUUGCUCUAGAAACACUGGUGUCACUCUCAUCUGUGCGAUCAAAGCAC